rnacentral:lncRNA from 1 species
UGGUAGGGGCAGAGGUGCAAUGCCAUAGUUAGGGACAGAGGCAGAAAGGCAGUGGCCGAUGUGCAGAGGCAGAGGCAGAGGCAGACAGGCAGGGGCAGAUUGGCAUAGGUAGAGGGGCAGAGGCAGAAACAGAGGGCCAGAGGCAGACAGGCAGGGGCAGAAGGUCAGAGGCAGAGGGGCAGAAGCUGAGGUGCAGAGAUAAGAAUCAGAAGGGCAUACGGACAGAGACAGAGGUAGAGGGGCAGAAGCAGUGGGGCAUUGAACAGUGGCAAUUGAGGCAGAGAAAACAGGCCUGGGUAGAGGGGCAGAUAGGCAGAGGAAGAGGUAGAGAGGCAGAGGGGCAGAGGCAGAGGGGCAGGGGCAGAGGCUGAGUAUCAGAAGCAGAGGUCAGAGGCAGAAGGGCAGAGAGGCAGAGACAGAGGCAGAGGGGUAGAAGCCUUUGGGCAGAGUCUGAGAGGCAGAGGAGCAGAAGACAGAGACAGAGGCAGAGGGGUAUAGGGAGACAUGAAGGGGCAGAGGGGCAGAUACAGACACAGAGGGGCAGAGGCAGAGGGGCAGAGGUAGAGGGGCAGAGGACAGAGACAUAGGCUGAGGGACAGAAGCAGAGGCAGAGUGGCAGAGGAAGGGGCAGUGUGGAAGAGGCAGAGGGGCAGAGGACAGAUGCAGAGGCAAAAGGGCAGAAGCACAGGGGCAGAUGACAGAGUCAGAAGCAGAGGGGCAGAGGUUGAGGGCAGAUGACAGAGUCAGAGGCAGAGGCAAAGGGGCAGAGGCAGAGGGCCAGAGGUCAGAGAGAGAGAGGCAGAGGGGCAGAGGCAGUUGGGCAGGGGCAGAGGUUGAGUAGCAGAAGUAGAGGUGAAGAGGUCAGAGGCAGAAGGGCAGAGAGUCAGAGGUGCAGAAGUGCAGAGGCAGAGGCGCAGUGGACAGAGACAAAGUCUGAGGGACAGAGGCAGAGGGGGCAAAGAUCAGAGGUAGAGUGGCAGAGGUAGAGGCAGAGGGCAAGAGAGGCAGAGGGACAGAGGCCGAAGAGCUGAAGAGAGAGACAGUGGCAGAGGGCCAGAGGUAGAUGGGCAGGGGCACAGUGGCAGAGGGUCGGAAGACAGCAGCAAAGUCAGAGGGGCAGAGGCAGAGGGGCCGAGGACAGAGGCAGAGCCGAAGGGGCAGAGGCAG